CAGUAAGUUCAGUAGAUCUACGCUGUGUCACAAAAAUGCCUCAGCAGCACUUUUACACCUUGCCUUGUCACCGUCCUCGGACGGUCAGGCGGACUGCAGGCGACUACGCCGCCUAGGCAUGCAUGCACUGCAUGCACGCUGGGCCUUGAUCAAAACAUUCUCCGUAGAUCUACCCACAUCGAAAUUAUUUUACUGGUUCCCGGGCAUCCCGGGAACCGCCCUAUGUACGCCCCUGAGAGCUACUGUUGACCGCUAUUCACUGCUGUAUUUAUUUUAUUACUUUGCAUGGCCAUGUUGAGGCAGUCUUCGCAUCAAUUUCCUUUACACAAUGCGUGUACUACAAUGUAUUCAAAACCAACGUCUGUGCCACGCACACAUACACAAACGUUUUAGGGAUGAAACGAGUAUAUCGAAUACUCGAGCGCUUGCUCGAAAAUUCGAAAGGAGUGAGGACUCGUGUCGCAAAACACUCAAAGUAUCUUAUGCACAGUGUACUGUUUGCUUGUACAUCAAGCACGUCUGUUACUCUGACCAGUACUGAUAACCCAUGCAAGUGUGAAAUUAUUACUUGUCCCUACUUACCAACAAAAGACGUAGUUCAGACUAUUUCCUGCACUAGGCUGCAUGCAAGACUACAUGUGUAUCAGGUGUAAUACGUUCAGUGUUACGAGAGUGUGUGCAGUACAUUGUUUUAUGUUGUCAGUAAAAUACUCGUACUCGCUUGAAUACUCGCUCGUUUUUUCAAAGAGUACUCGAGUCCUCAAUUUUGGCACUCGUUUCACCCCUAGGCCAAACAUGCAUGCACUGAAUGCCUGUGCUCUGUGCUCUGUGCACUCUGUGCUUGUGCAGGUCAAACCGACUGCCAGGUCCUGUCACCACCGGCACUGGGCUCAAUGACCGUGAACGGCUUGAUGUUCAGCAACACGACCACGUUUGUGUGCACAUCUCCCUAUGUCCUUAUGGGCUCGGCCGUGCGUACUUGUGAAAUCAACGGCCAGUGGAGCGGUGUGCAGCCAACUUGCGUCCUGACGACUGCUGCUCUGAGUGCGGCCAGUGACGACUGCUGCUCUGAGUGCGGCCAGUGACGAGCUAGUCAAGGACUCCGUCUCAGAACGCAUGACACAAACGUGUAAGCCUAGUAUUGCUGCAUAAUUAAGAGCAAUUUCUCCUACUGCUGACUGCUGAAAAUGUUGUGUCCUUCACAACUAGUCUCUUUGUUCUAAGAAGUCUGCCUCUUUCAUCGA